CAGGUGGGCUGAGUUGUCCAGCUGUCCCGCCAGAGUGAAGCCUGGGAGCCACCAGCUCCUGCUCCCUCUUUUCUGGGUCCCCGACAACAGAGAAGAUCUUGGUGGUGGAGAACAGUGCUCAGGAGCACAUCUGGAGGAAUGCGGAAGUAAGCAGCCUCAUGGUUCCAGUUGGGACAUGCCUCUGACAAGAAAUUUGGAGAUCAGCUCUCUCAGUAACAUCUUUACCCAAGUGCCUGGCCUUGGGGUGAACAAUGCUUCAAAAAUGCUGAGAUGGAAUUUCCAAGCAGUCACCUCAAAUUCCUGCAGAACUGUGUUCAUGGAGAUGUUAAUGAUGACACUAACACGUGUGUGGGGACAGGAAGAAUCUGGGCAACUCAAAUCAAUGAGCCUGCUCUCACCCUGAAGAUCUGAUGACAAAUUUAGCUUGUCUGGCACACAGCCACCGUUCCCCUUGGCUGCUCUGCUGCCUUCACCCUCAGCUGUUGCAACUCUUGGCCAUCCUGAGCAAAGGCCCUGCCAAGCGCCCCCUCCCUGACACGUCCACAUGGAGAAGUGCUUCCAGGAGGAGCUCCCAGCAAGAGGAGGGAAUCUGGGUGCAGGGGGAAGGUCAGCUGGGAGGCCGGCAAGAAGGCGAGGAAGAGGGGAGCCAGCGGAAUUUCCCAGGGAGGGUGACUUGAACAGUUCCCUUCAAUCUGAUUCUGUACUAUUCUGUGUUUUUUUUUUUUUUUUUUUGCAUGACAAUAUAUUGUUAAAAACAGAAAACUUUUGUUUUUAAAGCAAAAACUUAUCAAUGAGGGGAAGGAAGUGUGUUCAUGCAUUCAUUCAAGAUACUUAGGGAGCCCCGGGGAGACCACAUGCCAGGUCCUGGGGACACUGGUGAACAGGCUACAUCCCCCAUCUUGGGGAGCUUUCCACUAUGCAGGAGAGAUGCACAGACAUUAAGCAAAUAAUUACACACUUAUUUAGGUCAGUGCAGAAGUUGGGACUCUGGGAGAGUUCUGCUCUCACUGAAAGGUAGGAGGCAAGGUCAUUGCUCAGAGAGGGGCUGGAGCUAGGUAGGGGCCUUGAAAGCCAGGAUAAUGAUUAGGAAGAAGAGUUGCAGGAAAGGAGAGAGCAUGUAAACAACAGAGAUAUGCAUACUUUUUGCUUGAAGGUCUCCAAACUCAAGUCCCCCGAGCUUGAUUUUGAGCUGGCCACACGUGUCAUGUAUUUGCUUUAAAAAAGCACAUCCCUUUCUUGACACUCUGUUAAUCACCAUUCUCCUUUUAACGUUGCCAGCGAGGAUCUCCUUUUGCUGAACUAUCUUCAAUUCACAGUGCUUGUACUGAUAAUAGACAAUCCGUGUCUUCAGGACUGUUAAGUGACAGGACAGAUCUUUAGAUUAAAAGCAAUACAACUGUGUCCUUAUUAGGUUCUUAAUUAGAGUUCCAUGUGCUACUCUUAAGAGUCACUCAGCCCUCCUCCCCUGGGCUGUGGCAAGCUCAGAACAAUUGCCUUCCCAGGGCAUUGGCACCAUAGCCCUGGUUAAGCUUCAAGGGUGUAUUACCAAUAAAAUGACUCGAAUUUUAUCUAGUAUAUUUGAACAAUAACAUCUCAGUACACCUUACACCUUAGUGACUAAGGUGUAAAUUAUAAGUGCCUGGAACUUUUUCUUAAUCUUACAUACACAUUUCUUAAUAUCAUUUACUAUUUUACGAGCAUAUAUUUCUGGAAUACUGGAAAAGAGAAUUUAAAAAAAGGCAGGCAUCUCCUAACACUUUUCCUCUUGCAGAAAGCAGUGCUUUAUUUCAUUGAUCCACAGGUUUGAUCUUCUGUGUAGUGAAUUUCCAAAUGUAGUUAGAGUUUGCUGUUGAGUUCUGUACUAAAGUCCGGGUGUCUUCAGAUAUUAAAGAAUAACAAAACAAGAGGCUGUGACAAAGAGAAGUAUUUCACUAAUAUUUUCUAGAUAAUGGAUUCAUUUGUUUUGUGCAUAUCUUGCCUAAAUCCCUCCAUUCAUUUUAUUUGUUU